CCUACGGGAGGCUGCAGUGAGGAAUAUUGGUCAAUGGGCGUAAGCCUGAACCAGCCAAGUCGCGUGAGGGAUGAAGGUUCUAUGGAUCGUAAACCUCUUUUAUAAGGGAAUAAAGUGUGGGACGUGUCCUGUUUUGUAUGUACCUUAUGAAUAAGGAUCGGCUAACUCCGUGCCAGCAGCCGCGGUAAUACGGAGGAUCCGAGCGUUAUCCGGAUUUAUUGGGUUUAAAGGGUGCGUAGGCGGCCUUUUAAGUCAGCGGUGAAAGUCUGUGGCUCAACCAUAGAAUUGCCGUUGAAACUGGGAGGGGGGAGGAGGUUUGAGGCAGGCGGGAGGCGUGGGGUAGCGGUG
rnacentral:rRNA from 1 species